rnacentral:rRNA from 1 species
UACGUAGGGCGCGAGCGUUAUCCGGAAUUAUUGGGCGUAAAGAGCUCGUAGGCGGUUUGUUGCGUCGGCUGUGAAAACCUGAGGCUCAACCUCAGGCCUGCAGUCGAUACGAGCAGACUAGAGUGUUGCAGGGGAGACUGGAAUUCCUGGUGUAGCGGUGAAAUGCGCAGAUAUCAGGAGGAACACCAACAGCGAAGGCAGAUCUCUGGGACGUUACUGACGCUGAGACGCGAAAGCGUGGGUAGCAAACAGG